UACAGAGGUCCCAAGCGUUGUUCGGAAUCACUGGGCUUAAAGCGUGUGUAGGCGGGCCCGUAAGUGUCUUGUGAAAUCCCACGGCUCAACCGUGGAACUGCUGGGCAUACUGCGGGUCUUGGGCCAACUAGGGGCAGCCGGAACAAGCGGUGGAGCGGUGAAAUGCGUAGAUAUCGCUUGGAACGCCGAAGGUGAAAACAGGCUGCUGGGGUUGCGCCGACGCUGAGACACGAAAGCCAGGGGAGCAAACGGG
rnacentral:rRNA from 1 species